AUUGAACGCUGGCGGCAUGCCUUACACAUGCAAGUCGAACGGCAGCAUGAUCUAGCUUGCUAGAUUGAUGGCGAGUGGCGAACGGGUGAGUAAUACAUCGGAACGUGCCCUGUAGUGGGGGAUAACUAGUCGAAAGAUUAGCUAAUACCGCAUACGACCUGAGGGUGAAAGUGGGGGACCGCAAGGCCUCAUGCUAUAGGAGCGGCCGAUGUCUGAUUAGCUAGUUGGUGAGGUAAAGGCUCACCAAGGCGACGAUCAGUAGCUGGUCUGAGAGGACGAACAGCCACACUGGGACUGAGACACGGCCCAGACUCCUACGGGAGGCAGCAGUGGGGAAUUUUGGACAAUGGGCGAAAGCCUGAUCCAGCAAUGCCGCGUGUGUGAAGAAGGCCUUCGGGUUGUAAAGCACUUUUGUCCGGAAAGAAAUGGCUCUGGUUAAUACCUGGGGUCGAUGACGGUACCGGAAGAAUAAGGACCGGCUAACUACGUG
rnacentral:rRNA from 1 species